rnacentral:lncRNA from 1 species
AUAACAGUAAGCAUGAAAUUCUCAAUAAUUUAAGCAUAAACCAGUAUCCUUUUAUUUGAAAAAUAAUAAACUCACAGGCCAAACAAGAAUCCCUUUCUAAUUCACUACAAACCAUGAGACUGUCCAUAAAUAAAGCAUAAGCCAGUAUCAAAUUUGUCGAUCCCUUUUUAAUUCACUCCAAACAAAUCAAAAUUUCUCCAAAGGCAAGUAAAAAUUCAACCCAAAUAAGAAUCCACACUGAAAGCACCAAAAAUUGUAAAACUGUAAUUGUUUAGAGUUAACAAAAUUUUAUUUCUAAUCAUCACAGAAAAUGCUCACUAUCAACUUCAACACGUAGCCAGCACCAUUUGUCCUUAUCUAUAUGACAAGCAAACCCCAAACAACAAAUUGAACCGAAUAAUCGAAGGAGGAACGAAGAGCAAAUGUCAAAAUUGUACCAAAAAAAUCUCGUAUUCAAUUUGCAAGCGAGCAGUAAAUGAAGGUUUGAGAGAUGAGGAAUGUCAAUCGAUUUUUUUGCGACGGCGUAAUGCCUGGACACGGCUUCGGAUUCAAAUACCAUGCGGAUCAAGUCGGAAGCGAGUACCAAUUUUGGCGACUACCGGAGCUCCACUAUUGCCGGAAUUGCACGACUUUGGGAAGAAAUGGGGAGAGGAGGGAAUAGGGCCUGAUUUGAGCGAAAAUGGGGAGACAGAUGAAGGAUUUUCGAUUUCAAUUUUCAAUUUUUUUUUUAAAUAGCGCCACGUCACUUUGUAGGGUAAGUUUGUAACCGUCUUUGAACGCGUAGAGAGACCGUUAUUUUCCUUUCGAUUUCAGCAUGCUAGGUUGUAAAGGAAAUUUAGGAUAUUCUUGAAAGGAUAAAUAUAAAUGUACAAAUAAAUGUGUAUAAAAUGGGUUACUCUCACAAAUAAGUGGUUCUCACAUGAAUUUAACAAAGUCGGCUCGUGGUCCCCACCUCCUAUUAUAAGUAGUGAGUAAAGAACUUUGUAAAAAAAGUUUGUAAGUGUAAUAUGAUCCUUUUUGAAAAUGUAAAUGAAGGAACUACUAAUGUGAGAUCAUCUAUACAGACUACAGAUUUGAGUUUGAUUAAUUUUACUUCAAUCGAUUUAAUGGUACU